UACAGAGGGGGCUAGCGUUGUCCGGAUUUAUUGGGCGUAAAGAGCGUGUAGGCGGCCAGGUAGGUCUGGUGUGAAAACUCGAGGCUUAACCUCGAGAUGUCAUCGGAAACCAUUUGGCUAGAGUCCGGAAGAGGAGAGUGGAAUUCCUGGUGUAGCGGUGAAAUGCGCAGAUAUCAGGAAGAACACCAAUGGCGAAAGCAGCUCUCUGGGACGGUACUGACGCUGAGACGCGAAAGCGUGGGGAGCGAACAGG
rnacentral:rRNA from 1 species